AUGUUUUUUUUUUUUGUGAUCGACUAUGCCUACCAAAUGUGUUUAUUGAAGGUUCUUUUGGGCUUUGGUUUGAAGACCUGGCUAAGGUUCUUUAAUCUUUGUAGAAAGCAUCCAUUUUAACAUCAAAUAUUGUUGGUUGCACUUAUCUUACCAUGUCUACAAAUACUUAAAAGGGAGUUUAGAUGAUUAAUAUUUUGAUUAAUAUUUUAUGCCAGGCAAGUUUACUGUUAGUUAUAAUUGUUAUUAUAUUAUUUAUCACUUAAAUAUCAAGUUUAUGUGGGUUGUUUUAAUAUAAGUUAUGAAGGUACAAUCUGAGAUGAUUUGGCUCAUGGCAAAGGUGUUUAUAACGCUGAGCAAGGGCUGGUCAUGUUUGGUUAUGUUGUGGAUAUUCUUGGAACCUACAUAACGAUUUCAAAGGUCAUCAUGCCAAAAUGAUCAAAGACCUUCACCACCGGUUGAAAAUUUUUACUAACGUCCGAUUAAGGUUCUCUAUACGGGUCCGUUGAAGAUCAAUAUUCAUCAUUGGAAUGCUUACAAAUGUCGGUAAUAGGGGAUUUGAGCGAAUUUAUAACAUUCUCAAGUGGACAAUGGAACACGUGAUGGAUUAGUCGAGUUUCUAAGAACUGCUGCCAAAGACCCAGAAUUAGUUGUCCACUAUGAUUUUAUGCAUGUUAUAAGGU
rnacentral:lncRNA from 1 species